rnacentral:ncRNA from 1 species
CAGUGUAUUGGUGGCUAAAAAGCCAGGGGCGGUAGCGUG